rnacentral:rRNA from 1 species
GGGAUAGAAUUCCAGGAGUAGCGGUGAAAUGCGUAGAUAUCUGGAGGAAUACCAAAGGCGAAGGCAGUCCCCUGGUCCGAUACUGACACUGAGGUACGAAAGCGUGGGGAGCAAACAGGAUUAGAUACCCUGGUAGUCCACGCCCUAAACGAUGUCGAUUAGCCAUUGGAAGGACCCCUUUUCCUUUCAGUGACGUAGCUAACGCGUUAAAUCGACCGCCUGGGAAGUACGACCGCAAGGUUAAAACUCAAAGGAAUUGACGGGGACCUGAACAAGCGGUGAAUGAUGUGGAUUAAUUCGAUGCUACGCGAAGAACCUUACCUACCUUUGACAUGGCCAAAGUUCUACCGAGAGGCGGAAGUACUCGUAAGAGGAUUGGCGCACAGGUGCUGCAUGGUUGUCGUCAGUUCGUGUCGUGAGAUGUUGGGUUCAGUCCCGCAACGAACGCAACCCUUAUCUUUAAUUGCUCCUAUUUUAACAGGCACUUUAAAGAAACUGCCAAUGAUAAGUUGGAGGAAGGUGGGGAUCACGUCAAGUCCGCGUGGCCUUUAUAGGUAGGGCUUCACACGUCAUACAAUGGUUAGAACAAAGAGCUGCAAAUUCGUAAGAAGGAGCCAAUCUCACAAACCUAACCUCAGUUCGAAUUGCGGUCUGCAACUCGAGCGCAUGAAGCCGGAAUCGCUAGUAAUCGUGGAUCAGAAUGCCACGGUGAAUACGUUCUUAGGUCUU